ensembl:lncRNA
AUGGAGGAGUUUGGCUCUUAUAACACCCUGCAAGCAGCUAUUUCCUCCCAGGACCCUGCAUUUGACAGAGUCCUGGUAAAGUCCUUGACCCAGCAGCUGGUACAAGGAUGCAAGGAGGCGUCAAGACCAGCUUCUGCUGCAACAAACCCAUCAGACCAGGCUGAGACAGAGAGGGGGGCUGAGCAGAAAGCAAGAAGGAGCUUCCUUUGCUUUUCAAUGACCAAACUCAGGAUCAACUUCAAGCGUUCCAAGAGAGGAAACAAAAAGGACUGCCAUUCAGUCCAGGAACAGACUGAAAUUCCCUCUACUGAUGCACAUUGCAUAGGUAAGGAUGUUUUAGAGCUCUGCUAUAGAUUGUAGUUUUGUUUAGGUGUGUGUUAGAAACAUAGGUAUGCCUACCAAACUCAUAGCACUGCUAUUUUUCAAUGUUACUAUACUGCAUUUCUCUCUCUGUUUCUAGCUCCAGUUGGAGAGGUUUCUCCCUCCAUAUCUCAGCUUGUCAAAAAAAGAUCCUUGAUUGUCAGGGUCUUUUCAGCAAUAAUGAAGCCAUUCAGGCGCUUCACCAAGAACCUGUAACCUGUUACGCUGCAUGAAGAACUACUUUUGUAACAGCAAGACUUUUGACAAGAGGAAUUUCUGCAUGUCUACCCUUUCAAAGUCUAUUUGAUCAAAUAAAUGCCAAUGAUUUUACAAUAAUUUCAAGUGUUUUGGAAGAUUGGUAAAACUGAAGCAGAUUUUCUCAGAGAAAUGCACUAGUUCCCCCUUGGUUACACUUUUAUUGUGCAGUUUUUGAGUUGGCAGGACUUGGGGCAGCAGGUAGCCUUGUGGUUAGAGCGUUGGGCCAGUAACUGAAAGGUUGCUAGGUCAGAUCCCUGAGGUAACCAUGUAAAAAUAUGACGUUCUGCUCCUGAACAAGGUAGUUAACCCACUGUUCCUAAGCUGUCAUUGUAAAUAAGAAUUUGUUCUGAACUGACUUGUCUAGGAAAAUAAAUAAAAUAACCACAGCUUGACUCUAAUACAAUAGUUGCUGCAUAGACUGUCAGAUAACCAGAUGUUCUCUAUUAAUUUAGUUAGAUUGGCAAGAGCUUAUUAGCAGCAAAGAAAAAACACAGAGGAGAAUUAGCUAUCUGCAGCUAGAUCAACCCUCUGAGAUGCUUUCUAUAUGUUGAAAAUAUAAGGUCCAACAGUUGACAAUGCAUGUCAGAGCAAAAACCAAGCCAUGAGGUCAAAGGAAUUGUCCAUAGAGCUCAGAGACAUGAUUGUGUCAAGGCACAGAUUUGGUGAAGGGUACCAAAACAUUUCUGCAAUAUUGAAGGUCCCCAAGGACACAGUGGCCUCCAUCAUUCUUAAACGGAAGAAGUUUGGAACCACAAAGACUCUUCCUAGAGCUGGCCGCCAGGCCAAACUGAGCAAUCGGGGGAGAAGGGCUUUGGUCAAUUAAAAAUAGCUCUACUCUGAGAACUACUUUUAAUCACAGAGUGGAAAACACAGAACCAUACUGUGUGGAUCACAAUUAUGGGUGUAUUCUGGAAUAAGACAAACCCAUAGAGUUGGAGUGUACACACAGCCACCUCUUUAACCACUCUUCAAAAUAUUUGGCAGCCUUUGAGAUGGAGAGGCAGGAGAAUAAGUGACAGAACAAGAGUAUAAUAAAAGCAUGACUUCUCUCCCACUCCUGCUCACAGCAGCAGUGCAGUGGAGUAUCUUCAACAGCCAUAGGCCCAGGGAUUUCACAUCACAUUCCAUGAUGCAAUGCAGAAUACGGCUUCACACAGAACAAUCACCAAACCCAAUAGAUAACACUUCGAACAGCACAGCCAAACAUCAUGUAUCGCAUGAAGAGAAAUGUGUGUUCUCUGGACGUGAUGCCUUGUCACAGACCUGCUGUUUCGAUCUUUGCUCUCUCUCUCCCUCUCCCCCACCUCUCUUUCUCUCUCUCUUGCAAUGCAUGCUGGGAUUUUUUGGGAGUUUGAGUAUUGGUGUGGAGGGCUCUAUCCUAACUAACUUUCUUUGAUUCUUUUCUUUACAUGUUAUUUUCUAUGGUGGAGGGUUAACGCAAUAUUGAUUUAGCGGUAUCCACAGUUUUUUCAAAGUUAGGGUGUAAAAAGAGGACAGAGUAACUUUCCUGGGGUU